CCUACGGGAGGCAGCAGUGAGGAAUAUUGGUCAAUGGGCGCAAGCCUGAACCAGCCAAGUCGCGUGAGGGAUGACGGUCCUAUGGAUUGUAAACCUCUUUUGUCGGGGAGCAAGGCCCGCCACGUGUGGCGGGAAGGAGAGUACCCGAAGAAAAAGCAUCGGCUAACUCCGUGCCAGCAGCCGCGGUAAUACGUAGGAGGCAAGCGUUAUCCGGAAUGACUGGGCGUAAAGGGUGCGUAGGUGGUUCGGCAAGUUAGUAGCGUAAUUCCGGGGCUCAACCUCGGAACUACUACUAAAACUGUUGGGCUUGAGUGCAGGAGGGGCAUAUGGAAUUCCUAGUGUAGCGGUGGAAUGCGUAGAUAUUAGGAAGAACACCAGUGGCGAAGGCGAUAUGCUGGACUGUAACUGACACUGAGGCACGAAAGCGUGGGGAGCAAACAGGAUUAGAUACCCUUGUAGUC
rnacentral:rRNA from 1 species